GAUAACAGCCAUAUCACCCUGCAGCCCAAGACCAGUUACUCCCUGAAGCUAAGCAGGGCUGAGCCUGGCCAGUACAUGGCUGUGAGACCACAUGGGAAAACUAGGUUGCUGUUGGAA
ensembl:rRNA 5S_rRNA 5S ribosomal RNA